CUUGCUGGAGUCCUCUGUAGGCAGAGUGUAAACCUGCGAAGAGAGGUGGGAGAAGGUAGGCCGGCUUGACCGUGGGCCGGUCCCACGGUUGACAUGCAUUCCUGCUGCUCAUAUUUUUUAAGAUUUAUUUUGUCACUCAAAAUCACACACGUCUGCACGUGUGUGCAGGUACCUGCUGAGGCCAGAAGCAGAUGUCAGGUCCCCUGGAGCUGGAGUUACAGUCGUGGGCCACCCCAACACGCACGCUGGGAAGUCGGUUCCUCCUCAAGAGCAACAACAUAUGCCCUUAACCACCAGGCCAUCUCUCCAGCCCCUGCUACUGGUAUUUUAUUGAAGGGAACUGGCCACGACCCCAUCUAAGGAGGCUGGGAGUUGCGAUCCCUGGCUAAGCAGCCAGCGUCACCUUCCCAGACUCUAGAACACAAGUCAGUGAACUGAGACAGAGACUGUGACAAAGCUUUGCGAAGGUAGCUGAGGAUAGCCUUGAACUUCUGACCCCGCAGCCUCCUCCCCUAAGUGCUAGGCCUGCAGCCACCAUCUCUGGUUUAUACUGGACUGGGCUUUGCGCUUGGCAGGUUUCCUCCUUGUAGCCAUGGUCACCCGGGAACUCACUCUGUAGACCAGGGAGGCGGAACUCAGACAUCUGAGGCGUGCACCAACACCUGCCCGCCACAAACCUUGUAAUUGAAUCCUGAUACCUGUUUUUCCCUGUCCUCCACUGUAGCAGACCCACUAGCUAGGCAGAUGGCUGUCUCUAGAAGGCUAAUCCUCCAGCCUCCCUGUGACUCCAUUCUGCUGUCUGGGGCAGCAAGACACUGCAAGUAUGCUUUUAUUUCCCCUCUUUAACACAUUCUGUUGCUUGAAAAAUAAAGUGUUAGCUAGGCCAGGUGGGGGUGGCAGCGCACGCCUUUAAUCCCAGCACUCGGGAGGCAGAGGCAGUCGGACGUCUGUGAGUUCGAGGCCAGCCUGGUUGACAGAGGGAGUUCCAGGACAGCCAGGGCUCCACAGAGAAACCCUGUCUCAACCAUCCAAUAAACAAACAAACAAAGA